rfam:Pan troglodytes isolate Yerkes chimp pedigree #C0471 (Clint) chromosome 7, whole genome shotgun sequence.
UAUAGGUGAAAGAAAUUUUACCCUGGCACAGUGGACAUAGUACUGCAAGGUAAAGAUGAAAAAGUUAACCAAGAAUAAAAUAGCAAGGAUAGACCCUUAUACCUUCUGCAUAAUGAAUUAACUAGAAAUAACUUUACAUAGAGAACCAAAGCCAAGGCCCCCGAAACCAGACGAGCUACCCAAGAACAGCUAAAAGAACACACCCAUCUAUGUAGUAAAAUAGUGGGGAGAUUCAUGAGUAGUGGUGAUAAGCCUACUGAGCCUAGUGAUGGCUGGUUGUCCAAGAUAGAAUCUUAGUUCAACUUUAAAUUUACCUACAGAGCCACUUAAUCCCCCUGUAAAUUUAACUGUUAGUCUAAAGAGGGACAGCUCUUUAGACAUUAGGAAACAACCUUCAUGUAGAGAGUAAAAAACAUUAUCCCCACAGUUGGCCUGAAAGUGGCCGUCAAUGAAGAAAGCGUUCAAGCUCAACAUCCGACCACUCUAAAUUCUAAUCACACCACUGAACUCCUAACACCACAUUGGACUAAUCUAUUACUUUAUAGAUGCAAUAAUAUUAAUAUAAGUAACAUGAAAUAUUCUCCACUGCUUAAGCCUACAUCAGACCAGAAUAACCCACUGACAAAUUAACAGCCUAAUAUUAAUAAACAACUCAACAAAUUUAUUAUUACCUAUACUGUUAAUCCAACACAGGCAUGCUCUAAGGAAAGGUUAAAAAAAAUUAAAAGGAACUCGGCAAAUUUUACCCUGCCUGUUUACCAAAAACAUCACCUCUAGCAUUAUUAGUAUUAGAGGCACCACCUGCCAGUGACAUAUGUUCAAUGGCCACAGUACCCUGACUAUGCAAAGGUAGCAUAAUCACUUGUUCCUUAAAUAGGGACUUGUAUGAAUGACCCCAUGAGGGUUCAGCUGUCUCUUACUUCCCACCAGUGAAACUGACCUGCCUGUGAAGAGGCGAACAUGAAUAAAUAAGACAAGAAGAUCCUAUGGAGCUUUAAUUUAUUAAUGCAAACAAAGCUCAGAUAAGCCCACAGGCCUUAAACUACUGUCCCUGCAUUAAAUAUUUUGGUUGGGGUGACCUCGGAGCAUAAUUCAACCUCUGAGCAACCUAUGCUAAGACUAAACCAGUUUAAGCGAAUUACUAUACAUAUAUUGACCCAAUAAUUUGAUCAACGGAACAAGUUACCCUAGGGAUAACAGCGCAAUCCUAUUCUAGAGUCCAUAUUGACAAUAGGGUUUACGACCUCGAUGUUGGAUCAGGACAUCCUAAUGGUGUAGCUGCUAUCAAGGGUUCGUUUAUUCAAUGAUUAAAGUCCUACGUGAUCUGAGUUCAGACCGGAACAAGCCAGGUCUGGUACAUGUGUAUUUAAGUCCUCCACACCUCCCAUCUAUAAG